UGUUUCAUUUGCUUUGGUAACACAUGACACUAAAAUUGGAAUGAUACAGAGAAGAUACUAUGGCCCCUGCCCAAGGAUGACUACAAAUUUAUAAAGCAUUCUAUAUUUUU
ensembl:snRNA U6 U6 spliceosomal RNA